AAGCACCUCUGGCACUGAAGAUGCUAUGUACUGCCUCCUGUCCUGUCCAUGGCUCAGCUCUGAGGGAAGGAGCUAUGUGCUGGGCUGCUCUAGCAAGGGAGCAGGAAGAACUGCAGGAGCUCACUUCAGCUGUGCAUGGGAAACCAAGCUGGUGAUGGGGGAAGUUCUCCCCUAGAAAUGAGAAAGGGCAAGCUACUUCAGCAUUUGAUGGUGAUUCAAAAACAUCUUUUAAAGGUGUGAGUUCUAGGAGGCAAAAACAAAACAGGGUACCCAUCUUGUCAGAGAUUGGCAGUCCAGAGUUUGAAGAGAAGCUUAGAGAGAAAUCCAUACCAUUCUUUGUCAUACUUCAUGAACUGAGUGAUCUCAUGAGAAAUGAGACCUUUAGCAGAGGAGGGGCCUGAGAAGAAUAUGGAUAUGAAUCUCCUACAAAAUAUUUUGGCGCACUACAAAGAACUACAUCACUUGGAAAGAUGUGUUAAUCAUCAUGCUGAAGACAUAUGGCUUACUGAAAUUCUUUGAUCUAAUUCAAGUCAGUUGAACAGUAAGAUGUUCUGAAGAGUGCCGUCCAUCACUUUUGGAUAGUAUCUAAGAUCUGCUCUUGACCUUCUUCCUCAAAAAAUGACUUUCCA
ensembl:lncRNA